rnacentral:rRNA from 1 species
CGUAGGUAACCUGCCUGGUAGCGGGGGAUAACUAUUGGAAACAAUAGCUAAUACCGCAUAACAGCAAAUGUUGCAUGACAUUUGCUUAAAAGGUGCAAUUGCAUCACUACCAGAUGGACCUGCGUUGUAUUAGCUAGUUGGUGGGGUAACGGCUCACCAAGGCGACGAUACAUAGCCGACCUGAGAGGGUGAUCGGCCACACUGGGACUGAGACACGGCCCAG